CAAGAAGAGCAGUGAUGGACUGGUUUACGAUUCAUUCACUAUAUCAAGAGAUUAUAAAGAUGUCUUAGCAUGUGUACAUGAUAGCUGUGAGGCCACCACAGCAGCUUCAUAAAGCUAUUCCACUUCUUCCCUAGUAACUGUUUGAUAGAACUCUGUCCGAUAUCAGUGUUCAUCAGAUGUCAUACUACACUACUACUCUCAGUCUUUAAAUGUUAGGUUUACUCAUGAUUAAUUCUUCACAAAAUAUUUAUCAAAUGUUCACACAUUCGAAAAUUAAUUUAUUAUCAGCUCUGUGGUUUUCUGUUUCAUCAGAAACUUUGAUGCAGCUGAGAAGGAAAUACAAGGUCAAGGUGAACAAUCACUUUCAAAGAUAACAAUACACAAGGCUUUCUAUGCUUUGUGUCAUUCCUCUUCCAUUUAUGCCUACCCAUACUUGUCAUUUUUCUAUUACAUUUAAACCGUAUUUAAACUCUUAAUAAAAUAAUAAAUUUAAAUAAUACAUUAAUGUCCUUUAUCAUUUAUCAGAUGAUAGUAAUUUUUUUAUUAUGUCCUGAAUAAUUUGAUUUACUAGGACCAAAAGAGGAUUAAGCUCUCGGGGCAAUGGGUUGAUGUUAAUCAUUAAUGUAAUGUAAACCUUGAACAGGCAGAACCAUCUGGAGAUGACUGGGUUGAAGCUUUAUCUCCUGCAAAGUUUAAGUAAUCAUUUUAGAUCCCUAAUCACUACAGUCUCUGUUGAUUAUGAUAUUAACAACCGAUUCUGAAUCACGGAUACUAUCAAUACUAUUUGCUUAACGCAGGCAGUAAAAACUGAAAUGUUAUUAACAUUUGCAAGGUAAGUGUAUCUGACACAUACUCAAACUCAAGUAUUCGAAUGUGGCAGUGGAUCAGAUUGUUAUUGCGACAACGAUCCUAAGGAACAAAGUCCAUGGCUGAUCUUUGGUGCUCAUCGUGUACUUUGCGGUACUCUUCUGUGAAGUUGGGAGGGACCAUUUGCUGAACCCAUGGGAAGGGAAGGGAUCACUGUACUAAGAGGCAGCUCUAUGAUCUAUUCCAUAAUUUCUUAGUUAUUAAUUUUACUUUUUAUAAACAGCAUUGUCAGAUAUGGCGAAAGACAAAUUUAUCAGAUUAAGGUAAAACGAGGUUUAAAAAUAAUUCCCAUGCUUAACUUGUGAAAAAGAAAAUUGAACAAAAUGGCAUAAUCCAUAACUCAAUUGAUUAGGAUUUCUACAGUUGAUUUAUAGUAAAACAUGUAAUCAAGGAUUGUCAAAAACAGCAAUCGCGAGAAAACAUGAUACAAGGAUAAUACAAACUUGGUAUCAAUUAAUCCAGCAGUUUCAAGGUUAAACGGAUUCCAAAAGUUACAAGGGUAAUACAAACAGCUUCCUGAAGUUUCACAUAUUCAAGGCUGAACGGAUUCCAAAAGUUUCUCAUAUACCUGUCUAGCAGUCAUAUCUUCCACCUGAUAUGGUCAUCCAAAAUUAAGAUUAAUAUAAAAAGUAAUUAAGAUUAAUACAAAUAGUAAUUCUAAUAAUCAGGCGGACACCUUCCAUCAGUAAUUAAACUCCUUGACACAAGUAUAAAUAAUGCUGAACUGAGUUUGAGUAGGUGAUAAUCAGUAAAGAGUAAUGUGGAUAUCAACUUCUUCACAUCCGUAGUAAUUCUGGGUAGAGAGUUCAGAGUUUUCAGUGUCUUAUCAGUUCCAUUACCACCCAAACCCUUGCAUAAAUCUUUGCAUGACUUUAAAAUGAUCGUAUGUCUCCACAGAGACAUAGGUGAUGUGGUGACAAAAAACAGGUAACCACUAUAUCCAACCUUUUAAAGUACUAGGUGGACAGAGUAUUAACUAUGUGUUCCACUAUUUGCUAGAAUAUCAGCAAUCACAAGUUGAUUCCUACUCUAUAGAGCAUCACAUUAUAAAUGCUUGGAAACAGUGAACACAAGAACUGAAAAUACUUUUGUUACUCACCACAAGGAGCUUUGAUUUGCUAUUCCACCCUCUUUGAAGGGUCAUCUGGCUUAGUCUCAAACCCAACACCUAAUUCAAAUUAAAAAAAUGUUCUUUAUAUAAUUCUACAAAAUACUAGGCCAAACACUAAAAACAUGAAACCAUGCGGGACAUGAAUAAUGGGAUUACCUUUCCCAUGAAUUCUAGAAGUUCGUUAUUAGCUUCACCACGAGCUGCAGGCGCUGCUAUAGUUACGCGAACAUCAUCAGCAUUUACUCCUACAAAUGUACCAGGAGCAAAGAGGUUAUGAGUUAAUAGAAACACUUAUUAACUCUACUUAAAAGUUUUAUAGGAACAAGCAGAUGCAGAAAACAUCCAGUAAUAAAAAUCUUGCAUCUGCAUAAUGAACUGCAAUCUGCGAACAUAGACGGGAAGGAUAACUGCAAGAAUCUCUAGCAUGACUGGACUAGUUGACUAAUAGUUACAUGAUCUCAUCAGAGGCAUAGAUGUAUUAUCCCAAAAACUGAUCCAUUCAAACACAUGCUAUUUUACUGAUGCAUUGAUAAUAAAUAUUGAAAUAUGAGUUUACUUGUGACUGCAGACCGUUGUGCUCGGUCUUCCACUUCAAUAGCCACUUGAACUAGUCCACCUUCUAACUGCGAUAUGCAUGGUGGAACAGGGGCAUCCUAUGUCAUUGAAUGAGAAGGAGGAUCACAAAACUUGAAUAAAUUGCACCAAAAAAUAAUUAAAUUAUUUCAAAUACAACAUUCCAUUGCUCAAAAAUAUCUGCAUUUCAUAUCAUUAGAUGAAAACAAUGUAGCACCGAAGGUAAUUACUUGGGGGUUGGUUUCAGCAGCAACCGAACUUAGUGCACCAUCAACAACAUACAUGAAAGAGGCAGAUUCUAGAUCUUCCUCAGGGCAAUAGCAUACAAACAGCCCACAGCCAGUACAAUUCAUACGGAACUGCUUUUCCAAUUUUCCUUCGCCACUGUACAAAGAAAAUCACAGAUUGUUAAUAAUGAAAAUUUCAUUCUUAUACUAAAACAGAGACUCCCUGUCAAUACUUUGUCCAGCAAAAAUAAAAAUCUAGUCUUCCAAUAGUAUUGUAGUAUAACUGCUAGCAGAAUACAGAAAUAAUUGCAUAAUUGGUUAUUCAAAAUCCUUGCUUUGAACUUGCGCAUGACUUCUUAUAUACGAGUGAAUCAAAUGUUUGCAAUUUUAUGGUAAUAACUUAAUGGAGUCUUAUGUUGACAUACAUUCCUCUGCUAGCAAAUAAAAUAUAACUGCACUUAUUAAUUAGUCAAAAACAACGCUAACAGUCUGACAGUGAGAUUUGGAGAAGUUCAUUUUUAAAUAAGAACAAAAAAGGUAGGUACUUAUCUUUCUCUUGUUAGAGGAAACACACAAUCUAACAGUUUACACUCUUCCUCUCAUAGACAUCAAAUAUCUUUUUAUGAACACAAGAAAUUUGGACUUCAAAGGAAAGCUUCUACAUAGUUCAGUUUUGCUAUCAGUUUCCCAAAAACUCCUCACUAAUAAUUGAUGAUGCAAAAUAUGCAAAGCACACUCCACCGUGGUCGGUCAAUGUAAUAAUCAUAUACCUUACAACCUUUAUAAAUUAAAUUGCCAGGACUGCACAAUGCCACAAUUUAUUAACUUAGAGAGGUAUUAAUCAAUUGAUAGAUUAAUAUUUAUUAAAUUUAAGAGUAAACAUAAGUUAUUAAUGCAAAUGUUCUAUUUUAACAUUUUAAAUAUCAAAUUUGUUGAAUUAAUAUUCAUUUACUUGCAACAAUAUUAUAUUUUUGAUGAUAGUUAUGUAUAUGAUUUGAGAUAUUAAUAUGUUCACUGUAAUCACAGUAGAAAGAAUGUCAAUUACGCAUCAAAUUCCCCAGGCAAAAUAAAUACCAUCCAGACCGAAUAAGAUAAUAAGAAAAUAUAAAUAGCAUCCAUGAAAAUAAAGUUCAUGAUUAAUUUAUAUAUGAAAGACUUUUCCUCAAAUUAGUUACACAUAAAUUAGUUUCAAAGGAAUUUAAAUUUGAAGUAAAAUAUCUCUUAAAUCAUAUCUUUGUAUGGUAUCAAAUUUGAUAAUUUUUGACAUUGGCUCGAGUCAGAGAAAAUUAUUAUGUUGAAGAGGUUAUUCAUCUAUCGAGUAGUAAUUUAUGGAAGUUCUAGUGCCCUAUACGUUUCCUAUAUUAAUAGACCAAAAGAACGAAGUAAUCACCGUUUUAAUAGAACUUUGCCAGCCUCGUUAAUAUUAAGCCUCGUAAGAUGCUUCUUCUUAUCCAGAACAUAGGCCCUGUCAGUCUUCCUCUUGGGCAUUUUCUGCAAUUGAGUAUCUACAAACAAAUUUCAGUAAACCGAAAUAGUACAACUUCAAAAGUACAAUUUCAGCUUUAAGUGUAAAACUUUAGUGUAUGAUAACUUUAUUUAAGUAAUCAGCUUAUUAUCUCAAACACAAUAUUAUCAACCAGAGAAAUUCAAUUGAAUUUCAUAUACUUAGGUCCACUAUAUAUAUUCGUUAAUUUAGGUCUACUAUGUAUAUGUACACAAAUAUAGUGAAUUGUAAUGGCAAUCAAAAUUCAUUUACAUAUAGACCGGGGAGGAUGAGGAGAGAUGUGAGAGAGAAGAGAGAGAGAGGGUGGAGAGAAAGAGAGAGAUAAGAGAGGGAGAGAGAGAGAUAAGAGAGAGAGAGAGAGGAGAGAUAGAGAGGAGAAUGAGGGAGAGAGAUCGAACCGGUGAUGAGAACAUGAGAGCCGCAGUGUUUGCAGUAAUAAACAAAGAGAUCGGAGUCUGGACCGUCGGGCAAAGCAUCCUCGCUCGAAUACGUGUGGGUUGUUCUCUUCGGCAUCUCUCUCACACACAGGCCACAGCGCACAACAAUCCGGCUCCGUCUCUCUCUUUCUGCCCUUUUAUGCUGGCUAGCAUUAGUCCAUCCUUUCAAAGUCUUUUAUUUCAAAUUUUAUUUAAUAUAUAAACACAUAUUUAUUUUAAUUUUUCAUUAAAUAUAUAAAUAUAUUUUUAUCAGUUAUUGUAUAUCUAUAUUAUGCUGACAUGUUUUUGCUAAAAAAUUUAAUAAAUAAGUAAUUGUUCAGAUUUCCCUUAGCCCUUUAUUUUCUCAUCAUAAUUACUUUUUAUUAUAGAAAAUAUUUUAAACAAUGAGUUAAUAAGAUUUCUAAUUUAGUAUAAUAAAAUUAAGUCAUGUUGUUUGAAAAUAGUUCCUACCUCCUAAAUUAUUUUGUGGCAUUAUCAUCUUAAUUUGGACGGGUAAGUUACAUAAAUAUGUAAUACGAUUAGAUUUAUUUUACAAAAGUCAGAUAAUUUAUUUAAUAUUAUUAUUUUUGAUCGAAAUGGAUUUUAUUAACUCAAUAAAUCCCGACAGUGUCUCCAACAAAACAGAUGAACUGUUUUUUAACAUGACUAAGAAAUAUUCUAAGAUUACUCCUUAACACUCUCCACACUGCUGCAACAAAUCGCCAAACUGUAGCAAGUUACUCUGAUUCUGCUUAAUUGCAUUGACACUAAGCAGUGAAUCACUUUCAACCAGAAUGGUGCCUUCUGUCAUCUCCUGAGCCCAUAUUAAUGCCUCGAAAAUACCAGUAGACUUAGUCUCUGUUACAGAAACACCUCCUGCAAACUUCAGUGUUUUUCCUGCAAUAAACUGACCAUGGUGGUCUUUGAUGACCAUCGCCACCGCAAAGAAAUCCUGGCCCUCCACAACAGAAGCAUCAACAUUGAUUUUGAGUUGGCCCUCCCCUGGUUUCUUCCACUUAUGAUUAGUCCUGUCUGUAGUAUCUCCUUAAGUAUGAGUAGUGACCUGUUUGUUAUUAGUUGCCUGCCAGUUGCCCACAUGUUUCAAACACCAAGACUUGAUUAUACCAAGUGACAUGGUUUUGUUGUCAAAAACACACUUGUUUCGAGCAUACCAGAUUCCCCAGAAAACAGCUGACAUUGUAACUAAAUCCUGCAAUGGUCCAGAGGCAAGAAAUGAAACUAACCAUUCUGAAACAUGCUCCAUAUCGUGUGCUUCGAAGUUCAGCCUCAUCAAUUGCCAACAUUCUUUUGAAAAGCUGCAUUCAAAGAACAGAUGCCUUAAGUGUUCCACCUCACCUGAUAGGGGGUAACCUGAUUCAGCAAUACCCGGGUCCUUUAGAGGAGUCCAUACCCCGGGUGGCCGCCAACACCUUGGGACAUCCCCCAGGCUUACCAGGUCAUGCAACCCGGACAACAUAGUUUACCCGGACACCUGAGAACAUGCUACCCACCCGGAUACACUUGUACCAGCCGACACUUGCUGCACAAGUCACAGACUGACACAAUGAAGACAAAACAUAACGGUCAACUACUGGCGAUAGAGACAAGCCAGGGAACAUUCCAAAAUACUACUCCUACGCUGACACCUGGACACGUGUAGGGGAUCAAACCCUUACACGUGUAGGACCAGGAUCCAGGUACGCACCCUUAAACCCUAAUCCUUGGCCUAUAAAUAGACCAAGGAUCCAGAGUUUAAGGGUAACUUCACUCUCUACACUCACUCUUUGCACACACUCAAGCACUCAGCGUAAAUACAAACACAUACAGCCACCAUACAGCCAUCACAAAGCCACCAUACACCAACUUCACCCACCACAUAUAGAUAGCUUAUUUCCUGUUCAUACAUUCCGAUACCUGCACUCAUUCUCACGCCGGAGGCGCUGCGGGGCUCAAACCCCCCUCCGGUGUUGUUUUGCAGACACCCACCAGCAGCUACACCGCAAGACACCAGUGCACGGCGGAGGAGCUACCGGAACGGGAUCUGGAGUUAUCAUCACCUACACACAUUGGGCAACUGAUAGUAACUGGAAGCCCUUUUCCACGCAGCUUAUAGCGAACUGGAAUUGUGUUCCGACAGAUUCUCCAGAGAAAAACUCUUAUUUUGUGAGGAAUUGGCAGUCUCCAAAGUCGCUUCCAUCCCACUGAUAUAGAAGUCCGCUUUCUAGUACUCUGAGAUUUAGACCACUGAAAAUACGCUGAUUUCACUGUGUACUGUCCAUUACUGGUAUGAACCCAGGCAUUGUGAUAUUAAAUUUACUAUAUGUCACUUUUAAUAACAUACAAAAAUUAUAGAAAAAUAACACACACAUAUAGUUUGAAUUAUAAAUUCUGAUACAUUUUUUGUUAAAUAUAUAUUCUUAACAUAAAUAUUUUUGUUAUUUAUUAAAAUGAAUUAAUCUUUUACAUGUAAUUCGAAGAGACUAUAUGAAUGGUGAUCAAGCAUAUAAAUUAUUGGUUAAAAAAAUUUAAAACUUAUCUUAUUAAAAUAUAUAUAUAUAUAUAUAUAUAUAUAUAUAUAUAUAUAUAUUUCUAUUAUAGGGUAGUGAUCAAAUACAAACCACUAUAUACAAAGUAAGAGAAACUAGUCACAUCACCCAUCCCCUAGAUGCCAUCACCCACCCUCUAGAUGACAUUAUCCAUCUGGAGACCACUCUCGAGCCCCCUCAAUCCACCUUGGGCUCACUAGAGCCUCACCAAGGCUCUGUAGAGGCCCUAGAGGGACUCUAGACAAGUUGAAGAGCUAAUACUUGGCCCCACCCCUGUCCCGCUAGGCGUACCCAGGCCUUGCCAAGGUUCAGCUCAAGGUCCAUCGUCGAGGCCCACAAACCUUUCCAUCCUCUUAAAAUUUGUAUUUUAGUUUCUAUUUAGUAGUUUGUACUGUAGUAAGACUAUAUGUGUGUGUAUGUUAUGAAUUUACGGAGCUUUUAAGUUGUGAGAUAUCUAUAGUACUCUUGUAAUACUCCUUAUGAAGAUUAUGUUUAUUAUGAAUUAAUUUAAAUCGGAUGAAUCAGUUUUAUCCCUGAUCUUUAACCAUUUUUGAACCUUGUCGUACAUCAAGUGAUAUCACUAAAAUUUGCCUAUUUUAUUUCUACCCGAUUUGCUAGCCUCACCAUUUUUUGAGGGUCUAGAGAAUGGGCAGUUGGACACUUUGCUGACCGAUCUACAACACUUAAACAUUUUGCCUAGCCUCAAGUAUAAAUAUCUUUUUAUACAGAUCCCAUAGUACUUGAGGUUUUAGAUUUCUAAUUUGGACUAUUCCAUGAUAUCAAAGGCAUGCAGCGUGCUUAAAUCCACAUGGUCUUAAACUUGUAACUGUUAGAAGGCGGUUGAUACAAUGAAGAAUUGAGAAUGGAUAAAUUGCACAUUAUAUGAUGGAAAAUGCAUCAAGCGAACUAGCGAAGUCAUUUUAAGUUUUUUAGAGCAAGGGUCUUGAAGUGAAUUUAGAUGUAUAAUUUGCCUGGAGCCACAUAAUCAGGUAUAAGUAAAUAAUGUGGAGAUCGUACAAGAUCUUAAAGUUAUUCAAGAAUCACCCACAGACUGACAGACAAACUAAAGUAACUAGUACAACUUUGAGUACAUUGCUGCGAGGUUUGGUGAGCACGCAAAGGACUUGAGAUAUCAGACCUGCUUAUAUGAAUUUCGUGUAGUGUGACACCUACUUUUACUACUGAGACUUCUUUAUUUGAGGUGGUUUAUGGGGUGAAAUUAUAUUUAUUGAACUAGUACAUCACCUGUCUACUGAACUAAUGCAUCAUCUCUUCUAUAGAGAAAUUGUGAACUAGGUACCAAAAUCUGGGCAAGUGGCAGUUAUCAAGACUAAUGAAGAAACAAAUUAAGAAGAUUAAUGGGAAGUACAAAUGGGCUAGAACAAAAUUAGGCACCGAACAGAUUUUAAAGUGCGGCAUCUUGUUUAGCCUAAUUUAAAAAAUAAUGUUUUCCUAUUUAGCACAGAAACAAGCUCUUUCCAAGGGUGUCCUUUUAAGAAAAUAGAAAGUUCUGGUGAUUCUACUAACAAAAUUGACCUCCCUCUUGAUUAGUGACUAGUGGAGUUAGUGCUACCUUUAGUGUGGUGAUUUGUCUCCUUGUUUAAAAUUUGAACAUUGCAAAUUUCAGGACAUUCUUUUUUAAGGACUUAUCUUCUUGUUUAAGAAGAGAAUGAACAGGACAUCAAUGUUUAAGAAUCCAUAGUUACAUGCAGAAAUACGUUUAUUAUGCUUAGUAAUUCGAAUACAAAGGCAUACGAAGGUAUGUGGCCAUAGUCAUACGUUUUUUAAAAUCUUUUAUCAGGUCUUAGUGUCAGGUUGAACUAUUUAUAUACUGACUAGCAGUCUGUUGACAUAUUUAUCACUAGUUAUCAUCCAAUGUUCCUUUACCUUGGUAUGUUUGGGUAUGAAGCACCCUGAACAUCAGCAAUCUGUUCAUAAGGUUAACUGCCCUUUUUACAUAAGAAAUCCUCUCGGUAUGUUUGGAUGUGAAGCAUAGUAGCACUCUGUUAUAAUGUUGACUUCUUUCUGACAAAGAAAUCUAAAUGUGAGAGUGUGAGAUAAUGUUGCUUAAUAUAUUUAUGUUGUCACUCGUUUUUGGAGUCGAGAUUUGAGAACAUGCGUAAACUUAAGGUCUCUUGUGGACCAUUUUCAACUCAUUUCGUGGGUGGAAAUUAUUGUUAGAAUGUUAAGACUCAUAAUGCAGUUUCUUAAUUUAUUUAUAAGCGCACCAAGGUUUUCUGUUUGUAUCGGUAGGGAUUAGUUAUAUCAAUUUCAAAUCUUUUUAGUUGGCAGCCUAUCAUGUCUCAUUUUAUAUCGAUGAAAGUUGCAGGCAGUAUGAUGAAUAAUAUACCACCUGAUAGUGACCUGUACAAGGCAAAACGCAGCGAGGCUUCACAGAAAUACGAGAUGUAUGUGAACAUAAAUAUUACCUCUUUCUAUCACAUUUGGCACAAUACUAAUUCUUGUUCGCUUACAAAUUUCUUUAAUGUGUUCUCAGUUUGUUAGAUUUGGAGAAGCAACUUUCGUCCCUUUUUCCUAAGCCACAACUUUUGAACAAGUGAAUUUAGAAAUUACGGUGGACAUGUUGUGCAGACAGUACUUCCCCAAUAUUAAACUGAUGCCGAGCUUCUUCUGACUCUCAAGUCUCAUAUGGUUCAUAUGAAGAUGGAACAUGUAAAUUUAAAUCUUUGUAUAUGCAAUUCCAGUUCCUUGUAGUUGUAGUAUUAGAAUAAUUUAUGCUAAUUUUCUUAAAGUUCAACGCAACUUAUCCCUCUUGGUUAUAGUUGCAUAUAUUUUCUUUCAUCAAAGAAGUUGCGGAUUUCUUUCUUUCAUCAUAAGUUAUACAGGUUACAUUAGUAUGAGCUAGUAUCAGUUUUCGUUUGAUGUUAUAAAUAAUGUACAUAAUGGCGGAAUGUAAAUCUAGUUAACUUAAAAAACUGUACUAUGUUAUCAGAUGGUGAUGUUUAUUUGUUUCUUAUGGUUUUGCUGUACUAGACGGCCGCGCAUGGCUCAUAAUAAUAAUAUUGGACCAGGCCAGCUUUUAGCAAGUCAACUAUGUAUCUAUCAGCCACCCAAAAUCAUUUUCGGCACCAUGGUUGCACAACUGGAUCCGAAUCCAAGAGCCAACUAGUUGGUUCUUAUAUAUAAUAUAAAUAAUUUGAUUCUUAGCAAUUUAGUACAAAGUUAAGAGUGUAAACUCCAACAAUAUUCUCCCUAUAUCUUUUCUCUAUUUCAUAUUUAUUCAUAUUGAGCUCCACUAUAAAAAAAAAGGCAAGUGAAAUAAGAUAGUGGGAAAAGUUGAAGUGAAUUGGAGGGAAGGAAUUUUUUAUUUUGAAAAAAUAAGUUAAGAGUUAUGUGGUGGCUUCUAACUCUGAGGAGAGAGAAGAGAGAAAUAGGAGGUUCUUAAUGAUUUAAAGAGUCACUAAGAGUCUUUUGGAGUAAUUUUUUUUCACUUCCUCCUCAAAUCUCAAGUUAAGAGCUUAAAUGAAGAGUUUCCUGGAGAUGCUCUAAUUAUGUUAUACAAUUGCAAUUAAUUGGUUGAAAAAUACUAAGAUAAGUAGUUGAGAGUUGUAGAUAAUAUUUAUGCACCAAUAUUUUAAAUAAGACCAUAACAUAAAUUUAAAACUAUUUUGUGCACAAGGUCUCCGGUUGUGAACGACUGUAGAUCCAAAUUUGGAUCACUCUUUUUAAAAAUUAGAUUAAAUCGUGAAUUUUCAAUUUGACAAAUGUCACAUCCUGUAUCAUUAUGGGAUUAUAUGAUAAUCACGUCACAUCUAGGGUUCUUUUUGAAAAUGAAAAUUAGGUUAAAUCCCAAACUCUGUGAGAUUAUGUAAUAAUCAUGUCACAUAUCGAUUCCUUUUUGAAAAUGAAAAUCGGGUUAAAUCCCAAACUCUUGAAUUUUAACAAACGUCAGAUGCCAAAUCAUUAUGAAAUUAUGUGAUAAUUAUGUCACAUUCCAAGUCCUUUUUGAAAAUUAGGUAAAAUACUGAACUCUGAAUUUGACAAUAAAAUCAUGUUUCGAGUCUUUUUUGAAAAUUAGAAUAAAUCCUUAACUCCGAAUUAAAAAAUAAAUUGAAAUAUGCUUGUUAUAAAAUGCAAUAAUUUUGAUAAUUCAAAAGCCAACUAUCGGCUCCCAAAUUUUUGAUAUUAUUUGAUAGCAGUAUUUAUGUUUAUAAAUUAAAUUAAAAUAAUUGAUGGCAACACUUAUACUUAUGAAGUGAAUUAAAAUCUUUACACUCCUCCGCAUGAGAUUUGGGUGUUAUAGAUUCUCCAAUUUAAAAUUCCUUAUUUGAAUUCCUGUCCUUGUAAAGGCUGAAAUAGAUAGAUCUAGAACUUUCUAACUAUUAUGGAUACCAAUUGCUAUUGUGGCAUCAUAGUUUUUCUAGUCCUACCUCCUGCAACUUGACUAAUCAAAAUUUUGAGAGUUGAUUUUGAUACUAUAUGCCACAAGUCACAACCUAGAUCAAAUUAUGAGUAUUUUUUGAAUAUUGAGCGAAGUCGAAACUCUGAAUCCGAAAAUAUGUUGAAACAAACAAUUUGUCCAUCAUAAACUCUCAAAAUAUCAUGAUUUGUUGGUACAAUUAGUAAUCGUAAACAGUAAUUUAUUAACUGAAUUAAAAUUCUCACGUUCCUCCACCCAAAAUCUUCAAACUCGUUGACGACUUUCUUAAAUCUCCGCACACAAGUUUUCAAGGUCCUCGACGUUUGAAUGUCAUGUUACCAAAUAACAAAUGCAACCAAAAAUAUAUAAAUUUGUUUGAAUAAUAUAUAAAUAUAAGACAAUUGUAUGUAUUUGUCUAAUACAAAUUUAUAUACUAUAUACGAUAUAUUAUAUAUAAAAAUAUUCCGUGAAAAAGAAUGAGUAAAAAAUAGGUACUUAAGGUCCGGGUUCGGAUGUAUUAGGUCAACCAAAUCCGAUCCGAGUUUUUCGGAUAAAGAAUUGUACAUUAAAUUACAUGAAUACUUUGUGUUGCUAUUAUAUUAAACUUCAAUAUCUAUCAUCAAUAAAUAUUAGUAAAAAGUAUUCAUGGAUAAAAAUCCACAUCCCCGAAACCGAGAAAAGAAGAUAUAAUUAUAUCAUAAAUCCCUAAAUUAUAUAACUGUAACCAGUGUUGUAAAAAGCGGAAAUUGAACUUAAUCGAUAAGUCACGGAACAAGGAUUAAUUGGACAUUAAUUGAAUUGAUACGUAAUUAACCGGAUUGAUCGGUGAUUAAUCGGAGAUUUAAUCAGUUUGGCGAGAACUUGAACAAGAAUUGAUCGGUGAUUAUUAAUCGUGACUAAUUACCGACUUUUAGAACAGAGACUGUAACAGAUGAAUUAAUCAUAUUGAAAAAUUUAUUUGAUAUCCAAUUUUAUUUUUCAAUCUCAAAAAGUUACAUUUUGAUACGAAAAAGGGGGAAUGAUACGAUAGAGAGAGGGGAUGUAAGGAGAAUGACGCCAUAAAUUAUUUUACAAUAUUUAUCAACUUUAUCUUUAUUUAUAUGGUUAUAUAUAAAUAUUUAAUAUAGAAUUAAAAAAUACUCAGUAUGAGGAUAUAUUAAAAUAAUAAUAUAAAUUUAAUAAAAUAAGUGAUCUAAAAUACAUUUAUGUUAAGUAUAUUUAUCAACAUCAAAUCAAAUAAUAAUAUGAUAUUUUUAGAAAAAGUAUAACCCGAUUGCGGGUGUUGACCCCAUUAUCACUAUAUUCAUUAUUAAUAUCCAUAAUAUCACCAUCUGAAAAAAUGAUCUCAAAUAUUAUUUAUUAACGCAGCAUCGUGUAGCGUUUUGGAUAUUCAUACAAAACGCAACAUUGUUUAGCAUACGUAAAGCUAGUUUAUUUAUUUAUUUUACGUAGGAACUCGCAGCCGCUAUCUUACGGCUACGGGUGCCACUGGGUUACACAUGCUCAAAUAUUAUUUAUUAACGCAACAUCGUGUAGCGUUUUGGAUAUCCAUACAAAACGCUACAUUGUUUAGCGUUCGGUUAUGAUUAAAAAGAACGUAACACUUGUUUAUUUAUUUAUUUAUUUAUUUUACGUCGGAACCCGCAACCGUUACCCUACGGGUGUCACUGGGUAAACCUACGAACUCACGCAGUAGCAUGCAAAUUACGUGAAUCAUGUAAACUGCACUUAAGCGACAGGCUCUGGCCUAAGAAGACAUAAUCACAAAUUCUCCUCCGUUUAGGAGUCGAAUGUGUGACCAAGAGGAUGCAAGUCCCUUUUAAAACAGCUGAACUAACGUUAGUUUAUGUAACAUUCUUUGAGGAUUAAAAGAACAUAACACUACAUCAUCAUCUAGCGUUCAUUUAGCGUUUUGUUGAGGCUAAAAUUAACAGUUUUCUAAAUUGAAAAUACUAAUUUAUGUGAUGUUAAUGAGUGGUAUUUGGGGUCAUUUUCUCAAAUCCAUUAGUCCGGACAUUCUUCAUUUUGACACUGUCUGAGAAUUAGUGGUUAACAGUUAGCUAUUAGUGGAUUGAAUUAAAUGAUUUGACUAGCUGAUCGAAAUUGAAAUUUUGACUAGCGGAUUAAAUUAACAGUUUCUUGUAAAACUGUUUGGUAAUAGCCGUUUGAUCAGUUUUUAUGACACAUAUCGAAAUCUCUAACCCAAAAAAUUCUUCAAAAUAGUUUUUUGAAAAUUAAUAUUUGAGGUCAAAUCACUAUUUUAAUCCGCUAACUACCAAACACUAAUAUUAACAAUUAGAAUGAUCAAACUUUUAAAAUACCCCAAAUUUCUAAUUUUAUCCCGGCCUAUAACUUCAAAACACGGCACUCGUAAGAUCUUGGACCAUUUUCCCCUGUGCCAAGGCGUUGAUCUUAACGACCCACUGGCCACUAAUAAUUUAUUACUAAAAAUUCGUAUUUUACACUUCACCUCACAAGAACUACCGGCAUUAUUCUGGUAAGCUUAUAUUCUAACUCUCGCAGUCAAAAACAAGAAUAUCUCCCAGGAAUCUUCUCUCCAGAAGACAUAUAAACACAUGUCAUAGCUUAACAUCAUCGAUUCAUCGGAGACUCCAACGAUGAAGAUAUUGCUUAGCCUGGUGGCUGUCUUAAUAUUCAUCAGAAGCUGUGAAUCAGUAAUUCAAGGAGAGCAGCCACUUUCCAAGAUAGCAAUCCACAAAGCUACUUUUGCUCUCGCUCAUUCCUCAUCAAUCAGAGCUCACCCCCCUUUUCUUGGUUUGAAGGUAAUAAAUAAUAAUACGAACUUGAGCACGAUUGGAUAGCCCACGCAGUUAAGGAUUUAUUGUCAGUUAUCUCAACUCGAUAGUUUCUGAGAACAGAUACUUAAUUGUAAGGCUAUAAGCGUUAUUAGUCAAAAAUUAAUAAUACUAACUUACUAACAUGCUCUACUCGUUCUUGUGUUGUUUUUCGGUACGGAAGUAUUUUAAGUUGUUUGAUCGGAUAGUUUUGUAAAUUAUUUUGAUUUUUUUUUCCUGAAUUGAAGUAAAAUUUAAAGAAUAAUUAAUAAAAUUAUCCGCUCAAUGCACUUUAAAAUAGGAGGUAAAGUCAAAUUUAGGCUAGGGCGUAAGUUUAAUCUGAAUAAAUGAAUAAUUUUGAUAUAUGAAUAAAAAUUUUCGGUCUGGAUGGCAUUUAUAUAUGGAGGUUUAACUGUAUAGCUUCUUCUGUUCAUGGUAUCAGUAUGUAUACUUAAAAUGAGUAGCACAAUGUAACUGUGAUUUCUUUACAUUUAGCUGUUAAGUCAUCACAGGAGCGCUGUUAGGGGAAAUGUGUAGUUUGUUACUAGGGAUUAUCUUAUGCGGUAGGAAUGGAAUGAAAACUUGUGGACAGAAUUGCAGUCGGAAGAGGGAAGGUACUGGAGAGAGUGUUACAUUUUUUUAUGAUGGAAUUUAUAUAAGAAACGAGUAUGAAGUAGGAUUAGGUACUUACCCAAUAUGACGGGAUUGAAAUAUAGUUCAAAAUUAGUUAAUGUAUGUCAUGGUUAUGUGCUAUUAGUGGAAUGGAGGUAUGAACGAAAAUUAUAGUUAUCAUCAAGGUCUCAGGCCAAAAGAAUGUAUGUUAUGGUUAUGCGCUGAUAAUUGCUUCCUUCUGGAAUUCGAUAUUGUAUGUAGAAAUUAGCAUAAAGUUGUAACUUAAUUGCUUUUGAUUUGGGUGAUGACAGGGUGAGGAUACUCAAUGGGUUAAUGUGGACCUUGAACACGCAGAACCAUCUGAAGAUGACUGGGUUGGAGUUUUUUCUCCUGCAAAGUUCAAGUAAUUAACAGAUCUCACACCACGAUAGUUACGACAGAUUUUCAUAUUGAUAGUAGUAUGUUCUGAAUGGUCGAUAUAUUAAGUAUUUCAUCCUAAAGCUAGGUUGUAACUACUGGAAUUGUGUUUGCAUUUGAAAUUUAACCGUAUUUAACACAUUACACCCUCAAAUACUUGAACGUGGCAGUGGAUCAGAAUGUUAUUACGAGAACGAUCCCAAGGAACAAAGUCCAUACAUAUGUUCAGCCCCUAUAAAGGUAUGUAUACUUGAGUCUUGCUAUGACAUAGGAUAUAUAUAGGUGAACCAUUUAUUGGUGUCUCUACUAGUAAUUUACAUUGAUUGAGUCCCUAAUAAUGGGAAAGUGAAGAUUAAAAUGUCCUAAUUGCAGUACACAUAUGCAAAUCAAUCCACUUCCAAUUACACAAAGACAGGCAGGGCUUCAAUUAAGUUCCAGUUAAUCAAUCAGCGAGCAGAUUUCUCAUUUGCAUUGUUCUCAGGCGGUUUGUCAAAUGUAAGCUUGUCUUAUGCAUUUCUCUUAACUGAUUUCAUAUGAUUCAGAUAUCUAGUUCCUCUUUAUAGCUGUUUUUUUGUUGGAUCUUUGUGCAUUUCAGCCACUUCACAAAAUCUGUGGAGUCCUUUGUGAUGGCAUGACAUUGACUAAUUACAUUUUCACUAUUGCAGCCAAAAGUGGUCGCUGUUUCAGAUCCCAUUAGAUUUAUUAACCCAAAAGCUCCCGUUUAUCCUCGCCUUGCACAGGGAAAAUCCUGGAAUGAAGUAAGUUCAUCUCAUCCACCAGUUCUGGCAUAUUUUUGUUUACUGGGACAUGCGGCACCAUCUUGCUUGCGAACAGAUACAUUACCAUCUCUUGUUUAUCUAGAGUUAUUAUUAAGGCUGCGUGACUGCUUGAGGAAGUUCCUCUGUGACCGGACACAUUAUUAUUUUUUGUUUCUCGGAGUUACUAUAGUAUCUUAACUUGAGUCUGCUUGACUGCUUGAGGAAGUGUCUGUUUAUAUUAUAUCACAAAAUUCCCUAAAGAGAACUAAAUCAAGUGAAUAACUUAUCAUACAACAAUUUCUUAGCCCAUCUUUUACUGAUUGCAGAUGACAGUAACAUGGACAAGUGGCUACAACAUAGAUGAAGCCAUUUCUUUUGUCGAGUGGGGUAUGAGAGGACAGUCACGAAGGCGCUCGCCAGCAGGAACAUUGACUUUCACGCGCAACAGCCUGUGUGGUAAAAAAUUCUAAUCCAUGUAAAUUAGAAAAGUGUUUACUUGAGACUGCAUUAUCUAAGACAAAAAUUUUCAAAUAGAUCAACGUCCACGGGCCUGCUUUACAAUUAAUCAAUGUGUAGCUAUUCUCGGAAUCCAUAUCAUAUCAGAAAUAUAUAUAUCUGAAAACAGAAAUCAAAUGCAUGCUAAUGCUUUUUACCCAUGAUAUAAAUCUAGUAAAAUUGAAGCUUGAGAAUUAAGAUAACAUAACAUGGGUUAUUAUAUUUAUGAAUGAAAAAGAAAUGGAGCAAUGUCACUUUUAAAAACCCUUGUAAUUUAGCACUAGUAUUCAUUUGUUAUAGAACAUCACAAAAUAGGGGCAGCUUUGUCUAUUUUGUUACCGCUUCAAUGAUAUAUUGAUAUAUAUGCAUAUAUGUAUUACUUGCAUAGUAUAUCAGAUUUAUUAGACUUGUUUGAAUCCACUGAUUGCUUGCCUGGCUUCUAUUAAUACAGCGUGUCUUUAUAUCUGUAGGCUCGCCUGCACGGACAGUUGGUUGGCGUGAUCCUGGAUUCAUACAUACAAGUUUUUUAAAGGAUUUGUGGCCAAAUAUUAUGUAAUCAAUCUGAGAUUCCAUUAGGAUCUGCAACAAGCAUCUUUAAAACUUCGCAUUAUGUCUUUUUAAAUGAUUUAAUGUCUUGACAACUUUUUGCAGGUACACUUACAGAAUGGGACACAUGUUAUCUGAUGGAUCAUAUAUAUGGAGCAAGACAUAUUCAUUCAAAUCAUCACCAUAUCCUGGUCAAGAUUCCUUACAGAAGAUUGUAAUAUUUGGAGACAUGGGAAAGGUAGUCAGCUUAAACUGAACACUGAUACUGAUUCUUGCACAAUGCUAACUAAAUCUUUUUUAAUAGGUAAAAGUCAUUCUGCAUUAUCCAACUGAAAUGUCAAAUCAAGCUAAAACAAAUAUGUAGCUAAAAUUUUUUGAUUGCAGUUCCUGCUAUCUUAUCAUUAUAUAUCGAAAUGAAUAUUUUGGUAUAACACGAUAUCCAGUCUGUUGCAUAUAUGAAAAUUUAAUUAACAAUACAGGUUGUAUCGACCUCAGAGUAAUUUGAUCAUCUUUUGUGUAUUUCAGGCAGAGCGUGAUGGUUCAAAUGAGUAUAGUAAUUAUCAACCAGGAUCACUUAAUACAACUGAUCAACUGAUCAAGGACCUUGAGAACAUCGACAUAGUUUUCCAUAUUGGAGAUUUGUCAUAUGCAAAUGGAUACAUCUCACAAUGGGACCAGUUCACAUCGCAGGUGGAACCUAUUGCAUCAACUGUGCCAUAUAUGGUUGCUAGGUAUGUCCUACAUAACUAUAUGGAGACUUCUCAAUUAAUUCUGGACCUUACGUCAAACUUGUAUUUGCCCAUAAAAGCCCUAUUUGCAAAAUUUCUACAUAAAUUCCGUAAAUUACAUUUACUAGUGAAUAUGAGUUUUUAGGGUGCAUUACCGGCAUAUCAAUAUAUUUCGCUAUUAAAUUUAAUGACAUAGUCUUAUAUUAUCAUAACUGAAAGUUUAUUAUUAUUAUUUUUUUUGGGGGUGGGGGCAACAAGAUUUAGAGAAUUUCUUCUCUGGAAUGGAAGAGUUAUAAUUUCUAAUUUUUUCUGCAGUGGAAAUCAUGAGCGUGACUGGCCUGGAUCAGGAUCCUUCUACAAUACUGUGGAUUCAGGUGGAGAAUGUGGCGUUUUAGCUGAGACCAUGUUCUAUGUUCCUGCAGAAAACAGAGCAAAAUUCUGGUAUGGAUUAUUGCUUCUAAAAUGAAGUCACACUUAGCUGUAGAAAAGGAAACAGGAAAAAGUUUUCUUCCUCUUGAACUUGAAACACCUGAAGUGUUUUCAGUUAUAUUUACAAUGCUUCAGCACUUAGUCAUGGCACACAGUCACUUGUGUGAUUUUUGUCAUAUUAAAGCUAGAUAUGUCUUGUUGCAGCACAUAUAUGUAGUUGGCAUAUGGUAGGAUUACGACUUGCAAGCCUGUGUGCCACAGUUUUACUGUACUUGUCAGUUUUCCAUAUAAAGUUCGUAAAUGCUGUCCCUCACUAGUAUCUAUGUUGAAUUUUUUAGAAAAGGAAUUGGUUAUUUUACUUGUGCAAAAUGUGUCAACUAUUUUUAAAAAGUGAAAGGUUACCAGCACCGAUCCAGUUCAAUAUAUUGUAAUCUGGUGUUACACUAGCUGUAGCUAUAUAACUUUUUUAUUUAUAUCUAUAGAAAGCUUUGACACAAAUACGGCUGGGGUAUAAUUGCAAGGUACUCGACUGAUUAUGGGAUGUUUCACUUCUGCAUAGCUGAUACUGAACAUGACUGGAGGGAGGGUUCCGAGCAGUAUUUGUUCAUUGAGAAAUGUCUUGCAUCAGUGGACAGACAAAAGCAGCCCUGGCUGAUCUUUGCUGCUCAUCGUGUCCUCGGGUACUCUUCCGACAAAUAUUACGGCCUGGAGGGAUCAUUCGAAGAACCAAUGGGAAGGGAAAGCUUGCAGAGGCUCUGGCAGAAAUAUAAGGUGGACAUAGCAUUUUAUGGACAUGUACAUAACUAUGAAAGAACUUGUCCUAUAUACCAGGUAGAGAUAUUUUCUACUUUUACUCAUUUGGAUCACUCAGACUCUUUUACUUCUGGCUUAUCUUUAAUCGUCCUUUUCUUUUGCUGGUCCUGCAGAACCGAUGUGUGAACUCAGAAAAAUCCAACUAUUCUGGCACAAUGAACGGAACAAUCCACGUCGUUGCAGGUGGCGCGGGGAGCCAUUUAUCUGAAUUCAGUGAAGUUCAAACCAGUUGGAGUCUUUACAAAGAUUAUGACUACGGAUUUGUUAAACUAACAGCAUUUAAUCACUCGUCCUUGUUGUUUGAGUACAAGAAGAGCAGUGAUGGACUGGUUUACGAUUCAUUCACUAUAUCAAGAGAUUAUAAAGAUGUCUUAGCAUGUGUACAUGAUAGCUGUGAGGCCACCACAGCAGCUUCAUAAAGCUAUUCCACUUCUUCCCUAGUAACUGUUUGAUAGAACUCUGUCCGAUAUCAGUGUUCAUCAGAUGUCAUACUACACUACUACUCUC
rnacentral:lncRNA from 1 species